GGAAGUAAAAGUCGUAACAAGGUUUCCGUAGGUGAACCUGCGGAAGGAUCAUUAUUGAAAGAAGCUUUCAGGCAAAAGGGGGGAAGGGAAGGAAAAGGCAGUUGUAGCUGGUUCUUAAUGAACAUGUGCACACUGUUGCCUCUCUUUCUUUUGCUUGUUUCUUCAUUUUCUUCUCCACUUGUGCACUGUUUGUAGACAAUCCUGGACUACUGUUACAAGUGUGUCUUUACACAGGGUUUUGUCUAUGAUUUUCUUUAUACACUUUGCAUAUAAAAGAAUAUAGAGUGUCUUUAUAAAAAGAAGUUAAAUACAACUUUCAACAACGGAUCUCUUGGCUCUCGCAUCGAUGAAGAACGCAGCGAAAUGCGAUAAGUAAUGUGAAUUGCAGAAUUCAGUGAAUCAUUGAAUCUUUGAACGCAUCUUGCGCUCCUUGGUAUUCUGAGGAGCAUGCCUGUUUGAGUGUCAUUAAAUUCUGUCAAAAUCACAUACAUACCCAGUAUGUGUGUGUUUUGGAAUGUGGGAGUCUGCUGGCCUUUUCUUUAAAGGGCCAGCUCUCCUGAAAGAUAUAUUAAAGGAGGGAAUGUGCCUAAGUUACUUCUGUCUUUUCAUUGGUGUAAUAGAUAUGAAACUCAUUGUCUAUGCCAAGAAAGCAGGCUUCAGGUGGUUAAGGUGCAACGACUCUCUCUUGCCCUCUCUGCUUUUGAUAGAGAGGGAAUUUGUUUGAUAAGUUGACCUCAAAUCAGGUAGGAUUACCCACUGAACUUAAGCAUAUCAAUAAGCGGAGGA
rnacentral:rRNA from 1 species